GCUUCCCAUAGUCUCCAAACUUCAAAGUGCUCGUGUCGAGGUACUUGCGUGCCGAAGCUGAUGCGACCCCGAGGCUCGCAAAUAUUUUAUUCAGCAACGAAAAUUUUUGGAACAAAAAUCGUUGGGUUUGCCGGAGCAGCCCGAUCGCACUCUCUCCUGUUGGAUAAUUCAAAUAAUAACUUGACGAAAACUAUAAAUCGCGUUUUCGGAGUGCUCGUGCAACUAUGGAUUUCCGGUUCUGAUUUCUCCAGCAAGUGGAUCAGGCUUCAUCGCGUCUACUUCGAGUCCCAAUCGACCGGAAAUAUUGUGUAUGAAUAAAAACUGUCCUGAAUGUUUGUAUGGCUAUGCCAAGUGGAAUUCUGCGAAAUUACAUAUUCUGCGUUUUAUGAAUAAAAAAUGUGAAUGAUCGCGU